GGCCCUAUCGUCUAAUGGUUAGGACACCGCGCUUUCAAUGCGGGAAUCCGGGUUCGAUUCCCGGUGGGGCUA
rnacentral:tRNA from 1 species